GCGAGGGGAGUGAAAAAGAACCUGAAACCGUGUACGUACAAGCAGUGGGAGCACCUUCGGGUGUGACUGCGUACCUUUUGUAUAAUGGGUCAGCGACUUAUAUUCUGUAGCAAGGUUAACCGUAUAGGGGAGCCGCAGGGAAACCGAGUCUUAACUGGGCGUUAAGUUGCAGGGUAUAGACCCGAAACCCGGUGAUCUAGCCAUGGGCAGGUUGAAGGUUGGGUAACACUAACUGGAGGACCGAACCGACUAAUGUUGAAAAAUUAGCGGAUGACUUGUGGCUGGGGGUGAAAGGCCAAUCAAACCGGGAGAUAGCUGGUUCUCCCCGAAAGCUAUUUAGGUAGCGCCUCGUGAA
rnacentral:rRNA from 1 species